rnacentral:rRNA from 2 species
UGGGGAAUAUUGCACAAUGGAGGGAACUCUGAUGCAGCGACGCCGCGUGAACGAAGAAGGCUUUCGAGUCGUAAAGUUCUUUUAUAUGGGAAGAUAAUGACGGUACCAUAAGAAAAAGCCCCGUCUAACUACGUGCCAGCAGCCGCGGUAAUACGUAGGGGGCUAGCGUUGUCCGGAAUCACUGGGCGUAAAGGGUUCGCAGGCGGAAAUGCAAGUCAGGUGUAAAAGGCAGUAGCUUAACUACUGUAAGCAUUUGAAACUGCAUAUCUUGAGAAGAGUAGAGGUAAGUGGAAUUUUUAGUGUAGCGGUGAAAUGCGUAGAUAUUAAAAAGAAUACCGGUGGCGAAGGCGACUUACUGGGCUCAUUCUGACGCUGAGGAACGAAAGCGUGGGUAGCAAACAGG